rnacentral:piRNA from 1 species
GUAGACUUCAACAGUGAGGAAGAUGC